GACGCCAUCCUCUAAAGGUAGGAGGUCUGCCUCUCAAGCAGAGAAUGUUAGGUUCGAGUCCUACUGGCGCCACCA
rnacentral:tRNA from 1 species